rnacentral:rRNA from 1 species
CCCUUAGAUGUCCUGGGCCGCACGCGCGCUACACUGAGUGUCUGAGAUACGAGUCUGCCUGGUCCGGCAAGGUCUAGGUAAUCGCUAAAAGACACAUCAUGCUUGGGAUAGAUUAUUGCAAAUAUUAAUCUUGAACGAGGAAUUCCUAGUAAGCACUAGUCAUCAGCUAAUGUUGAUUAUGUCCCUGCCCUUUGUACACACCGCCCGUCGCUACUACUGAUUGGGUGUUCAAGUGAGAUGCUUAGACCCUUGUUGCAUGGUUCAUUAUUGUGCUCCGAAAGGAAAAAGUUUCAAGCUUGAGUGUCUAGAGGAAGUAAAAGUCGUAACA